GACAGAGGGUGCAAACGUUGUUCGGAAUUACUGGGCGUAAAGCGCACGUAGGCGGCUUUCUAAGUCAGGGGUGAAAUCCUGGAGCUCAACUCCAGAACUGCCUUUGAUACUGGAGAGCUUGAGUCCGGAAGAGGUGAGUGGAACUCCGAGUGUAGAGGUGAAAUUCGUAGAUAUUCGGAAGAACACCAGUGGCGAAGGCGGCUCACUGGUCCGGUACUGACGCUGAGGUGCGAAAGCGUGGGGAGCAAACAGG
rnacentral:rRNA from 1 species